rnacentral:rRNA from 1 species
CCUACGGGGGGCUGCAGUGGGGAAUAUUGGGCAAUGGGGGCAACCCUGACCCAGCGACGCCGCGUGAGGGAAGACGGCCUUCGGGUUGUAAACCUCUUUUGUACGGGAAGAAGGACGUGACGGUACCGUGCGAAUAAGUCCCGGCUAACUACGUGCCAGCAGCCGCGGUAAUACGUAGGGGACGAGCGUUGUCCGGAAUUACUGGGCGUAAAGGGCGCGCAGGCUGUAGAUCAAGUCAGCUGUGAAAUGUCUGGGCUUAACCCGGGCAUGCGGUUGAAACUGAUGUACUGGAGUGCUGUAGAGGCAAGUGGAAUUCCCAGUGUAGCGGUGAAAUGCGUAGAUAUUGGGAAGAACACCGGUGGCGAAGGCGACUUGCUGGGCAGCAACUGACGCUGAGGCGCGAAAGCCAGGGGAGCAAACGGGAUUAGAUACCCCUGUAGUC